rnacentral:rRNA from 1 species
UACGGAGGGUGCGAGCGUUGUCCGGAUUUAUUGGGUUUAAAGGGUGCGUAGGUUGCCUGGUCAGUCAGCGGUGAAAGACCCCCGCUCAACGGGGGCAGUGCCAUUGAUACUGCCGGGCUUGGAUCGGGUUGAGGCCGCCGGAACGGAUGGUGUAGCGGUGAAAUGCAUAGAUAUCAUCCAGAACACCGAUUGCGAAGGCAGGUGGCUGUGCCCUAGAUCGACACUGAUGCACGAAAGCAUGGGUAGCAAA